rnacentral:rRNA from 1 species
CUUGACUGUAUCCUGGAAUUGGGUUCGGGCUUUUCUUGCGCAGUCUAGGUGGGAGGCUAUGAAGAUUUCCUUCCGGGGAAGUUGGAGCCAUCAGUGAGAGACCACUCUGGAGAGGCUAGAAUCCUAAUGGUGAUCCUUGAAUUAGGACACUUGACGGUUUCAGGUGGGCAGUUUUUCUGGGGCGGAAGCCUCAUAAAGGGUAACUGAGGCGCGCAAAGGUCCCCUCAGUCUGGACGGAAAUCAGACAACGAGUGUAAAGGCAAAAGGGGGCUUGACUGCAAGACCUACAAGUCGAGCAGGAGCGAAAGCUGGCCUUAGUGAUCCGACGGUACCGCGUGGAAGGGCCGUCGCUCAACGAAUAAAGGUUA